ACGAGAAAAAAGUUGAUCAACAGAAACAUGAGCAGCUGCGGGAGUAUCAUUAUCGAAAAUCACCAACGAGGCUUCGACAGGCUCAGUGGAACGAAUAGAACGAGGGGGAGAUGCUUCAUCAUCUGAAAUAAUGCGUCUUCUAGACCGUGGCCUUUUUAUCAAAGAACCCCCGUCUUUUUCUUCCUCCUUUUUCAGAGUCUUGAUCAACAAUAGCUUUCCUUUUCAAUGAAGAACCCAAAAUUAUCUCUUGGGCUCUUUCCAAAGGAAUUUUGGAAGCUACGAUGGCCUAAUCACUUACGCCUCGAAUAG
rnacentral:lncRNA from 1 species